UUGGUUGGGACAUUAUGACCACAAAGAUUGUAGAUGUAUUGUUGUACACUCAUGUAGCCUUUUUCUGAAUGGAUCUAAAGUAGGGACAGAACUGAAAAAAAAAGACUUUCCUCCGUGUGAAUAAGGAAUGUCAUCCUUUUGUGAAGAACCUUGGCAGACUCAAUCAAGAGUUUAAGGGAUUAUCCCCUCAGGUGUCAUGCGUACAGCACGAGGGCCACCCAUGCUGUACGCAAAAUGUAUACACACAUGACUGAUCAGUAUCCACUGUAUGGUUGUCACGACUUCCGCCGAAGUCGGCUCCUCUCCUUGUUCGGGCGGCAUUCGGCGGUCGACGUCACCGGCUUUCUAGCCAUCGCCGCUCCAUUUUUCAUUGAUCCAUUUGUUUUGUCUUGUUUUGCACACCUGGUUUGCAUUUCCCAACCACACUGCAUGUAUUUAUUCCUCUGUUCCCCCUCAUGUCGUUGUGUGACAUUGUUUGUGUUUACGUGUCAUGUUUGACGCGCCAGACUGGUGUUCGUAUAUUCCGUGUUUUGUCACGAGGUAUGUUUAUUUGUGUCACGUUCUGACCUUUAUUUCCUUUGUUUUGUCAUUAUUUAGUAUGGUCAGGGCGUGAGUUGGGGUGGGCAGUCUAUGUUUGUUUUUCUAUGAUUUUGGGAUUUCUAUGUUUUGGCCUAGUAUGGUUCUCAAUCAGAGGCAGGUGUCAUUAGUUGUCUCUGAUUGAGAAUCAUACUUAGGUAGCCUGGGUUUCACUGUUUGUUUGUGGGUGUUUGUUUCCGUGUCUGUUUUUUUCACCACAUGGUACUGUUCUGGUUUUCGUUCGUUUCACGUUUAUUGUUUUUGUAUCAGUUGUGUUCAUGUUGAGUAUUUCUUAUUAAAAGAACCAUGAACACUUA